rnacentral:rRNA from 1 species
GAGAGUGCAGGCGGUUUUCUAAGUCUGAUGUGAAGGCCUUCGGCUUAACCGGAGAAGUGCAUCGGAAACUGGAUAACUUGAGUGCAGAAGAGGGUAGUGGAACUCCAUGUGUAGCGGUGGAAUGCGUAGAUAUAUGGAAGAACACCAGUGGCGAAGGCGGCUACCUGGUCUGCAACUGACGCUGAGACUCGAAAGCAUGGGUAGCGGACAGGAUUAGAUACCCUGGUAG